CCUACGGGAGGCAGCAGUGGGGAAUCUUGCGCAAUGGGCGAAAGCCUGACGCAGCCAUGCCGCGUGAAUGAUGAAGGUCUUAGGAUUGUAAAAUUCUUUCACCGGGGACGAUAAUGACGGUACCCGGAGAAGAAGCCCCGGCUAACUUCGUGCCAGCAGCCGCGGUAAUACGAAGGGGGCUAGCGUUGCUCGGAAUUACUGGGCGUAAAGGGAGCGUAGGCGGAUAGUUUAGUCAGAGGUGAAAGCCCAGGGCUCAACCUUGGAAUUGCCUUUGAUACUGGCUAUCUUGAGUACGGAAGAGGUAUGUGGAACUCCGAGUGUAGAGGUGAAAUUCGUAGAUAUUCGGAAGAACACCAGUGGCGAAGGCGACAUACUGGUCCGUUACUGACGCUGAGGCUCGAAAGCGUGGGGAGCAAACAGGAUUAGAUACCCUGGUAGUCCACGCUGUAAACGAUGAGUGCUAGUUNUCGGCAUGCAUG
rnacentral:rRNA from 1 species